rnacentral:rRNA from 1 species
AUACGAGUCUAAGGAUGAAAGCGGGGGAUCGCAAGACCUCGCGCGAUUGGAGCGGCCGAUAUCAGAUUAGGUAGUUGGUGAGGUAAAAGGCUCACCAAGCCAACGAUCUGUAGCUGGUCUGAGAGGACGACCAGCCACACUGGAACUGAGACACGGUCCAGACUCCUACGGGAGGCAGCAGUGGGGAAUUUUGGACAAUGGACGCAAGUCUGAUCCAGCCAUUCCGCGUGCAGGAUGAAGGCCCUCGGGUUGUAAACUGCUUUUGUACGGAACGAAAAGGUUUCUAUUAAUACUAGGAGCUCAUGACGGUACCGUAAGAAUAAGCACCGGCUAACUACGUG